rnacentral:piRNA from 1 species
UUUGAAACCUUCUAAUGCCCUGGUGGUUCA